rnacentral:rRNA from 1 species
AGAGUUUGAUCCUGGCUCAGAACGAACGCUGGCGGCAGGCUUAACACAUGCAAGUCGAACGGACGUAGCAAUACGUUAGUGGCAGACGGGUGAGGAACACGUGGGAAUAUCCCCUUCAGUUCGGAAUAACUCAGGGAAACUUGAGCUAAUACCGGAUACGUCAGAGAUGAGAAAGAUUUAUCGCUGAAGGAUUAGCCCGCGUCUGAUUAGCUAGUUGGUGAGGUAAUGGCUCACCAAGGCGACGAUCAGUAGCUGGUCUGAGAGGAUGAUCAGCCACAUUGGGACUGAGACACGGCCCAAACUCCUACGGGAGGCAGC